UCCCUGAUGGUCCAGUGGUUAGGACUCCGUGCUCCCAGUGCAGAGGUCCUGGGUUUGACCCCUGGUCAGGAAA
rfam:Ovis aries breed Texel chromosome 2, whole genome shotgun sequence.